ACAGCGGCGGACGGGUUAGUAACGCGUGGGAACGUGCCCUUUAGUACGGAAUACCCAUUGGAAACGAUGAUUAAUACCGUAUACGCCCUAUGGGGGAAAGAUUUAUCGCUAAAGGAUCGGCCCGCGUUAGAUUAGGUUGUUGGUGGGGUAAUGGCCUACCAAGCCUACGAUCUAUAGCUGGUUUGAGAGGAUGAUCAGCAACACUGGGACUGAGACACGGCCCACACUUCUACGGAAAGCAGCAGUAGGGAAUCUUGGACAAUGGGCGAAAGCCUGAUCCAGCCAUGCCGCGUGAGUGAUGAAGGCCCUAGGGUUGUAAAACUCUUUCGCCAGGGAAGAUAAUGACGGUACCUGGUAAAGAAACCCCGGCUAACUCCGUGCCAGCAGCCGCGGUAAUACAGAGGGGGUUAGCGUUGUUCGGAAUUACUGGGCGUAAAGCGCACGUAGGCGGACUAGUCAGUCAGAGGUGAAAUCCCGAGGCUCAACCUCGGAACUGCCUUUGAUACUGCUAGUCUAUAGUUCGAGAGAGGUGAGUGGAAUUCCGAGUGUAGAGGUGAAAUUCGUAGAUAUUCAGAGGAACACCAGUGGCGGAGGCGGCUC
rnacentral:rRNA from 1 species